GAUCUUAUUAAUGAGGGAGGGUAGGAGGGGUUCUGAUCCCGAAAUCCCGAGCUUAAAAACACGAAAUCCCGAAAUCCCGGGCUUAAAAAUCCCGAAUUCCUGAGGUCCUGAAAUGCGAAAAAGGAUUCCCGGAUCCCGAAAGGGUCAAUCCCGAAAUCCCGAGCUUAAAAACACCCGAUCCCGGAGUCCCGAUAAAGGUCCUAUCCCCCCUCAUUAAUGAGUAAAGAGUAGAAUAGUGUACUGUACAAAAUGUGAUUCUCGAUAAACAAUGUCUAUUUAGAAGCGCAUGAGUUCAACAUAUUUGAAAGCCAUCUCAUACUAAAAAUUUAUUUAUGGUUUUUGAUAUAUUCUUUGAUUUCACACCACUUUCCUGGAUGCAAAUCGUUGCAUAGCAAUACGUAUCUUGUUUAUAAUCUGUAAAGAACAUUUUAAUCUAACUAAUGUAGAAACAGCAAUGUUUCCGCACCAAAUGGGCAUCUCGAUAAAUUCUUUCCAUUCAUUGAUGGUCGAGGUACACAUAUAUGAAAGCAAAAUCCUAUUAAGGUAGUAUGGGUGUAUUUCGCCAUCUUAGAUUGUAACUUACAAAGAAUCUGAGGCUCAGAUUUUCAGUCAAGUCAACAAAAUUUGAUGAGGAAUGCAGAUGACUAGUACAUAUGUAACAUGUGUAAUGUGAAUUUUCAUUUAGAAG
rnacentral:lncRNA from 1 species